rnacentral:rRNA from 1 species
UACGUAGGGUGCAAGCGUUGUCCGGAAUCAUUGGGCGUAAAGCGCGCGUAGGUGGCUUCGUAAGUCCGAUGUGAAAGUCAAAGGCUCAACCUUUGAAAGCCGAUGGAUACUGCGUAGCUAGAGUACGGAAGAGGCGAGUGGAAUUCCUGGUGUAGCGGUGGAAUGCGCAGAUAUCAGGAGGAACACCAGUGGCGAAGGCGGCUUCCUGGUCUGCAACUGACGCUGUGGCGCGAAAGCUAGGGGAGCAAACGGG